rnacentral:rRNA from 1 species
UACGAAGGGGGCUAGCGUUGUUCGGAAUUACUGGGCGUAAAGCGCACGUAGGCGGAUCGAUCAGUCAGGGGUGAAAUCCCGCAGCUCAACUGCGGAACUGCCUUUGAUACUGUCGGUCUAGAGUAUGGAAGAGGUGAGUGGAAUUCCGAGUGUAGAGGUGAAAUUCGUAGAUAUUCGGAGGAACACCAGUGGCGAAGGCGGCUCACUGGUCCAUUACUGACGCUGAGGUGCGAAAGCGUGGGGAGCGAACAGG